UCCACUAUUUGUUCCAAGAACAAAAGCAGUAACUCCAAAUGCAGCGAUGACAAAGUUAGAACAGAAUGAGUCAGCACAUAAAAGCUCAGUUGAAGUCGCAAACCAAAGGAGGCCAUCCAGUAAGGUCAAUGUAUUAACUCAACAACCAACGGAUAAUCAACAACAUUCAAGUGAAGAUGGACAAUGGACGAUGGCCAAUAAAACAGUAACUCUUGACAUUGCGUCCCAGAAUACAGACAUAUUUGCAGAAUAUAAUGCACAAACAAGCCAAUCGUGGAACCAAUUUUCAGCGGUUCGUCAAAACAAGUCUGCUUUAUCAACUCAUGUACAGAAUCAGAAAACGAGGAAGCUCCCAACGAGAGUUGCAAAACAAAAACAGGUCGCUCGACUCCCUGGUUCAUAAUCCAGUCCAGCAAAAAGCAUACCAUGAAUUCUGAAGUCUUUUUAACAAAAAUAGUGAUCGAAGGCAAUAAAUUACAAUCUGGAGAAAGAAGAGCGAAGCUUGGCACAGAAUAUAGACAUAUUUGCAUAAUAUAAUUCACAAACAAGCCAAUCGUGGAACCAAUUUUCAGCGGUUCGUCAAAACAAGUCUGCUUUAUCAACUCAUAUACAGAAUCAGAAAACGAGGAAGCUCCAACGAGAGUUGCAAAACAAAAACAGGUCGCUCGACUCCCUGGUUCAUAAUCCAGUACAGCAAAAAGCAUACCAUGAAUUCUGAAGUCUUUUUAACAAAAAUAGUGAUCGAAGGCAGUAAAUUACAAUCUGGAGAAAGAAG
rnacentral:lncRNA from 1 species